CCUACGGGGGGCUGCAGUCGAGGAUCUUCGGCAAUGGGGGGAACCCUGACCGAGCGACGCCGCGUGGGCGACGAAGGCCUUCGGGUUGUAAAGCCCUGUCGAGGGGGAGAAAAGCCGAAAGGCCUGAUCCAUCCCUGGAGGAAGCACGGGCUAAGUUCGUGCCAGCAGCCGCGGUAAGACGAACCGUGCGAACGUUGUUCGGAAUCACUGGGCUUAAAGGGCGCGUAGGCGGGCUGGCAAGUCCGGGGUGAAAGUCGCCGGCUCAACCGGCGAAC
rnacentral:rRNA from 1 species